rnacentral:rRNA from 1 species
UCUUACCGAUUGAGCGUGCUGGUGAAAGUGUUGGGAUCGGCCUCAGCUGGUGGCAACACCGGUUGUGGCUGAGAACAUCAUUGAACCCUCCCGCUUAGAGGAAGGAGAAGUCGUAACAAGGUUUCCGUAGGUGAACCUGCGGAAGGAUCAUUG